rnacentral:rRNA from 1 species
CACAUGCAAGCCGAGCGGUAUAGAUUCUUCGGAAUCUAGAGAGCGGCGUACGGGUGCGGAACACGUGUGCAACCUGCCUUUAUCUGGGGGAUAGCCUUUCGAAAGGAAGAUUAAUACCCCAUAAUAUAUUGACUGGCAUCAGUUGAUAUUGAAAACUCCGGUGGAUAGAGAUGGGCACGCGCAAGAUUAGAUAGUUGGUGAGGUAACGGCUCACCAAGUCUACGAUCUUUAGGGGGCCUGAGAGGGUGAUCCCCCACACUGGUACUGAGACACGGACCAGACUCCUACGGGAGGCAGCAGUGAGGAAUAUUGGACAAUGGGUGAGAGCCUGAUCCAGCCAUCCCGCGUGAAGGACGACGGCCCUAUGGGUUGUAAACUUCUUUUGUAUAGGGAUAAACCUACUCUCGUGAGAGUA